GCAAAGAGAGUAAUGUAUGGAACUUUCAAUUUUAUUCUCUGAGAUGAGGUUCAUACAGUAUGAGUUACGUUAUUGCAUUACGGAUAAAGAGUGAGAAAGAAAAUAAAUAAUUAGAUUAAAAACUAAAGUAAUAACAUUCCAGAUGUCAGAGAAAAAGUCAGCUAGUUUUCAUUCCUUUGUGGGCGUGUUUUGAGUCAGUUUUUGAGCUAUAAAUGUUUCUGGCACCUGGCAACCCUGAAACUGCUUGACAGAAGCUGCACUUUUGAAGGACUGAAGCACAGCUCUUGAGACGCUCCACCAAACACCUACUGAGUUUUAGACUUGCGACACCCAGAAAUGUCUAAAAACAGAGAAUUAAGCCUCAGUGAACGUGAAGACCCAUUGAGAUUUUUAGACACAGAGAUGUCUGAAAACAGAGAAGAUAAAGACCCUGGUAUAAUUUUGUACCAAACAGCUGCGUAAAGGACAACCCAGAGUAGAUUUCGAAGUUUCAAGUGACAUACGUACGAGUACUCAAAGAAAGGAAUUACUAAAUCUGAAAACAUGGAUGCAUGAAAAUAAAAUUCAAAAAAGGCCAAAGGUGGAACUUGUAUCAGCUAAUGCUGGUCUAACCAACAUCAUAAACAUGGUUGACACAUAUGACAGACCAGCAGAUACCAGUACAGAAGGCACCUAUGCUCGAAGUGGAGCAUAUGUAAUAAAACCUGAAAACAAACCAAUGCAUAGAAUUCCCAGGGCUGGAGUAUCAGCAGAAGCAGGAGUUGGACGAGCUCGUGCUGAAUUCAGUGUAUUUGAGGCAGAAGCCAAAGGCCCCAAUGCCAGUGCUAGCGCUGAAGCCAAUGCAGUUGGAGCUGAAGCAAUGGCUCGAGCUGAAAUUGGCAGUGUAUCUGCUACAGCCCGGUCCAGUUGAUGUGAAACUGGGACUUGGAUUUGACACGGGUGCAUCUAUUGGUGUGAAUGGGUUGGAGGUAAAAUUCCUGGGAACUGGGUUCUCAGUUGGUCCAAAACCCAGUUUAUCUUUUCUGGGUUCAA